rnacentral:rRNA from 1 species
UACGGAGGGAGCUAGCGUUGUUCGGAAUUACUGGGCGUAAAGCGCGCGCAGGCGGACACGCGCAUCGGCGGUGAAAGCCCCCCGCUCAACGGGGGAGGGUCCGUCGGAGAUGGCGUGUCGUGGAGGCAGGGAGAGGCCAGUGGAAUUCUCGGUGUAGCGGUGAAAUGCGUAGAUAUCGAGAGGAACACCUGCGGCGAAGGCGGGUAGCUGGGCCGACACUGACGUGAGGCGCGAAAGCCAGGGGAGCGAACAGG